rnacentral:lncRNA from 1 species
UUUUAGAAUUUUAUUAACUUUAACAAAAAACUGUAAGUUAAAGAGUGGUCACUUGGUGAAGACACACAAAUUCAGACACACAAAUAUUGCUCAGCUGGCAAUUAAGUAACAAACAUUGUACAACUGUGUCAGACAUCAACUGCUGAACAACUAAUCAAUGUAAUCAAAAUCUUCUGGGAUUCCAAAACUUUUGUCAAUUCUGCUCUCUUCAAAUCCAAAUUUACGCUUGGCCCAGGACUUUAUUGCAAAGAUGUUAUCAGUCCAUCUGUUGGCUGCCUCCUUGGCUACUUUGCUUGUUUGGCGCAUUUCUUCAACAACGUCUGGAUCAUAUUCCUUGUAUUUUUCUAUUUCUGCCUUUAGCUGCUCUUUUUUCUGCUGGAGGGCAGCAAGUUCCUUCAUCAGAGCUGCACGUUCUGCAGUAUUUUCACGUCCAAUUUUUGAUUUUUCCAUGCCUUUUUGUAAAAUCUCUUUUUUCUGACUGGUUUCUGCAAACUGAGUCUGCAAUUCUUCUAAUUUACGCUUCCUGGCAUGAAGAGCUUUACUUGGGAAAGCCCAGAAGUAAUUGGAAGUUCCGAUUCUGUCAGUGUCCACCAUGCCAUCAUCAACUAAGCUUUGCAGAACCUCUUUGACCGACAUGGAAGUAAUCCCUUUGUCUUUUGAAGCAAUCUUCUCUAUAUCCUUCAACUGGAACACAUCUUUUGUUUCAAAAAAGAUCUCCAUCAUGCGAGCUCUCUUCUCCUCAAAGCUCAGUCCUUUUUUCUUGGACAUGGUGGUCUCCGGAGCUGGCUUGAUUUCGGCGCCACCGGGAGGGGGGAAGGCCGCCUGCGCGGCUCCACCGCCACCUGGCGUCACCGCCUCCGCGGUGUGGGGAGCGAGCGGCCGGCGA